CACAAGCAGAGCAGGGCGCUGG
rnacentral:miRNA from 1 species